CAAUAGCGUAUAUUUAAGUUGCUGCAGUUAAAAAGCUCGUAGUUGGAUUUCGGGUGGGAAUGGCCGGUCCGCCGUUUCGGUGUGCACUUGCUACGCCCACCUUGCUGCCGGGGACGUGCUCUUGAGUUCAGGCUCGGGACACGGAGUCGGCGAGGUUACUUUGAGUAAAUUAGAGUGUUCAAAGCAGGCCUACGCUCUGAAUACAUUAGCAUGGAAUAACACGAUAGGACUCUGGCCUAUCUUGUUGGUCUGUAGGACCGGAGUAAUGAUUAAGAGGGACAGUCGGGGGCAUUCGUAUUUCAUUGUCAGAGGUGAAAUUCUUGGAUUUAUGAAAGACGAACUACUGCGAAAGCAUUUGCCAAGGAUGUUUUCAUUAA
rnacentral:rRNA from 1 species